UACGUAGGGGGCGAGCGUUGUCCGGAAUCAUUGGGCGUAAAGCGCGUGUAGGCGGCCCGGUAAGUCCGCUGUGAAAGUCCAGGGCUCAACCCUGGGAUGCCGGUGGAUACUGUCGGGCUCGAGUCCGGAAGAGGCGAGUGGAAUUCCUGGUGUAGCGGUGGAAUGCGCAGAUAUCAGGAGGAACACCAAUAGCGAAGGCAGCUCGCUGGGACGGUACUGACGCUAAGGCGCGAAAGCGUGGGGAGCGAACAGG
rnacentral:rRNA from 1 species